UAGUGGCCUCAUCAAGAAAACAGCUCACAUGUUCAUUUACCAAACACGGAUCGAAGAUGAAAGUCAUAAUAACCGCGAUCGUGGUUGCACUCAUUGUUUGCUAUUUCAUAGUAGCCACACAAGGCGUCGACUUCUUCGACAAUAUUCCCCCCAACUGUAAGUGUGUACGGGCCCCCUGCCCCUGCGGAUGGUCAUGGAGACCAUCGUAAAAUAAUGUAAUGUGCCUCCGACUACCAAGAACCUUUAAGGAGU